rnacentral:rRNA from 1 species
GUGUCAGCAGCCGCGGUAAUACGGAGGAUCCAAGCGUUAUCCGGAUUCAUUGGGUUUAAAGGGUGCGUAGGCGGACUGAUAAGUCAGCGGUGAAAUCUCUCGGCUUAACCGAGAAACUGCCGUUGAUACUGUCAGUCUUGAGUACAGAUGAUGUGGGCGGAAUAUGACAUGUAGUGGUGAAAUACUUAGAUAUGUCAUAGAACACCGAUUGCGAAGGCAGCUCACAAAACUGUCACUGACGCUGAGGCACGAAAGCGUGGGGAUCAAACAGGAUUAGAUACCCCCGUAGUCC